UAUUUGUAAACGGAUGCGUUCGGUUGGGCGUAGCAGUAUGACUAGGCUAGGAGUAGGAGCCUAGAUCUAGACGACUGUUCAUCUUGGCUUGGCUUGGCCUUCUGCUUUAUUGAGUCUGUGGCAGUAAGAUUCGAGUCAAUUUAAGGUGCAAGGUUAUCUGGUAGAUAUCAAAGAUGGCUGACGAUCCAGCUACGAAGCCUAAAGAGCAGGCCAAGUCGAUGGAGCAAAAAGGAGGAGAAAGGUCUGAUGUUUCGACAUCCAAG